CAGUAGCGUAUAUUAAUGUUGUUGCAGUUAAAAAGCUCGUAGUUGGAUUUCUGACUUGACGCGCCUGGCCCGCCUUGCAUUUCGCGGGUGAGUGCCGGAGCGCGUCGGUCAUCCUUCUAGAGAACGGCGCUACCCUUCACUGGGUCGGCGUCGCAAUCUAGAUCUUUUACUUUGAAAAAUUAAGAGUGUUCAAGGCAGGCUCGCGCUGUGAAUACAUUAGCAUGGAAUAAUAAUCUAGGACUUUGUUCCUAUUUUGUUUGGUUUCUUAGGAAUUAAGUAAUGAUUGAUAGGGAUAGUUGGGGGUGGCUAGUAUUCAGCGGCCGACGAGGUGGAAAUUACUUUGGAUUCGCUGAAGACUAACUUAUGCGAAAG
rnacentral:rRNA from 1 species